ACAAUGAAGCUGCAGUGUGUUCUCCCCAUGGAAUGUGCUCCUGAUAAGAAGUGCCAAGAAAUUAUCAUUAAAAAGGGAUCCAUAGUCUAAGGAUAGGGGAGGGAGUUGCAGAUGUUGGGGUUCGAAUGCCGGUUCUGCUAGAAGUCGCUUUUUAAGGUUAGUUGUGUGAACCAACUGAGCUAAAUACCAGGUUCAUAUUACUGAUGGUUUGUUUAUUCCUCUAUUUGCCAAUGAAGUGGGAAAAAAAAAGUGAUUAGUAGUAUUCAUUCUGUUCCACUCCCACCCUAUAGCUUUUAAUCAUACCUUGUUCAUGUUAAUUCCACAUGUUUGUAUACACUAACAGGUUAAUAAUAGAUAUAGAUUUUGACUAGUUGAUGUAUCCGUGUUAGUGUUUUACCUAAUAGGGUUGUCAUGUCCAACACAUCCAAGCCUCUUGAUCGGAAAUAAGUGAGAGAAGCUUCCCAGGAGAUGGAUGGUGAAGGGAGAUCAACGGAGUCCUUGGUCGAUGUCAUCCCGUCUCUUCUCCCUGUAUAUACGGGAUAAGACGGUGCUCCUGCCUGAAUUUAUAUAAUAUGAAUUAAUGAUUUAUAUGAUACAAAUACUCUAGAGAUUUAUUUAAUGAUGAGAAAAAUUAAAUAAAUACAUACCAAAUGAACAGCAUCUCGAGUGGCGAGGUUAAGAAUGUCAGCACAAGAGACAACGCCUGGGCAACGAGCUUCAAGCACCGUCUUAAUCUUGUCGAUGAACGCGAACCCUGCCAGUC
rnacentral:lncRNA from 1 species